CAUGCAAGUCGAGCGAGAAGCUAACUUCGGUUAGUGGAAAGCGGCGCACGGGUGAGUAACGCGUGGGAAUUUACCUUUUGGUGGGGGACAACAGUUGGAAACGACUGCUAAUACCGCAUAUACCCUACGGGGGAAAGAUUUAUCGCCAAAAGAUGGGCCCGCGUUAGAUUAGGUAGUUGGUAGGGUCAAAGCCUACCAAGCCUACGAUCUAUAGCUGGUUUGAGAGAACGAUCAGCCACACUGGAACUGAGACACGGUCCAGACUCCUACGGGAGGCAGCAGUGGGGAAUCUUGCACAAUGGGCGAAAGCCUGAUGCAGCCAUGCCGCGUGAGUGAGAAGGCCUUCGGGUUGUAAAACUCUUUUAGAUGUGAAGAUGAUGACAGUAACAUCAGAAAAAGCCCCGGCUAACUUCGUGCCAGCAGCCGCGGUAAUACGAAGGGGGCUAGCGUUGUUCGGAAUUACUGGGCGUAAAGAGCGUGUAGGCGGCUAGAUAAGUUAGGGGUGAAAUCCCGGAGCUCAACUUCGGAAUUGCCUUUGAUACUGUCUAGCUUGAGAUUGCGAGGGGAUAGCGGAAUACCCAGUGUAGAGGUGAAAUUCGU
rnacentral:rRNA from 1 species